rnacentral:rRNA from 1 species
AGGAUGAACGCUAGCGGCAGGCCUAAUACAUGCAAGUCGAACGGCAGCGGGUCCAGCAAUGGAUGCCGGCGAGUGGCGCACGGGUGCGUAACACGUAUGCAAUCUACCUGUAACUUGGGGAUAGCCCGGAGAAAUUCGGAUUAAUACCCAAUAAUAACCGAGACUGGCAUCAGUUUUUGUUUAAAGAUUUAUUGGUUACAGAUGAGCAUGCGUCUGAUUAGCUAGUUGGUGAGGUAAUGGCUCACCAAGGCGAUGAUCAGUAGGGGACCUGAGAGGGCGAUCCCCCACACUGGUACUGAGAUACGGACCAGACUCCUACGGGAGGCAGCAGUAGGGAAUAUUGGUCAAUGGAGGCAACUCUGAACCAGCCAUGCCGCGUGUAGGAAGAAGGCGUUCUGCGUUGUAAACUACUUUUGAUUGGGAACAAAUGACUCUUGCGAGAGUAGCUGAGUGUACCAAUAGAAUAAGCCACGGCUAACUACGUGCCAGCAGCCGCGGUAAUACGUAGGGCGCAAGCGUUAUCCGGAAUUAUUGGGCGUAAAGAGCUCGUAGGCGGUUUGUCGCGUCUGCUGUGAAAGACCGGGGCUCAACUCCGGUUCUGCAGUGGGUACGGGCAGACUAGAGUGCAGAAGGGGAGACUGGAAUUCCUGGUGUAGCGGUGAAAUGCGCAGAUAUCAGGAGGAACACCGAUGGCGAAGGCAGGUCUCUGGGCUGUAACUGACGCUGAGGAGCGAAAGCAUGGGGGAGCGAACAGGAUUAGAUACCCUGGUAGUCCACACCGUAAACGAUGGACACUAGGUGUUGGUGGUAUCAACCCCGCCAGUGCCGAAGCUAACGCAUUAAGUGUCCCGCCUGGGGAGU